GGCACAAACGUGAAGAAGAAUAGUUGGGUAUGGUCAGCUGGUCCUGCUAAUCUGCUCUACUUCAAGUUUGUGCUC
rnacentral:pre_miRNA from 1 species